rnacentral:rRNA from 1 species
GACGUAGGGCGCGAGCGUUGUCCGGAAUUAUUGGGCGUAAAGAGCUCGUAGGCGGUCUGUCACGUCGGCUGUGAAAACCCGGGGCUCAACCCCGGGCCUGCAGUCGAUACGGGCAGACUAGAGUGCGGUAGGGGAGACUGGAAUUCCUGGUGUAGCGGUGAAAUGCGCAGAUAUCAGGAGGAACACCGGUGGCGAAGGCGGGUCUCUGGGCCGUAACUGACGCUGAGGAGCGAAAGCGUGGGGAGCGAACAGG